AGGUGAGGGUGUUUAGCCACUCAUUGAAUUAUAAAGAAUCACAAUUAAGGAAUUCAUGUUUAUAAUCCAAAAGUAAACUAAAGGAAAGGAUAAAAACCCUAAGAGAAGUCUCCUCAGGUGUAUUCCAUGCCCCAAAGGUCUUCCAAGGUCGGUACAAUAUAAUUGGAGUGUUCUAUUUAUACUAGGAGAACAUCGGCCCCUUUUUGGACACUAGCAUGCCAUUCUUUAUCGCAUAGUAUAGGGAUUG
rnacentral:lncRNA from 1 species